rnacentral:rRNA from 1 species
UCCGAAGGGGGCUAGCGUUGUUCGGAAUCACUGGGCGUAAAGCGCACGCAGGCGGAUUGAUAAGUCAGGGGUGAAAUCCCGGGGCUCAACCUCGGAAUUGCCUUUGAUACUGUCUGUCUUGAGUCCGGGAGAGGUGAGUGGAAUUCCUAGUGUAGAGGUGAAAUUCGUAGAUAUUAGGAAGAACACCAGUGGCGAAGGCGGCUCACUGGCCCGGUACUGACGCUGAGGUGCGAAAGCGUGGGGAGCAAACAGG